rnacentral:rRNA from 1 species
AUUGAACGCUGGCGGCAGGCCUAACACAUGCAAGUCGAACGAGUGGCGGACGGGUGAGUAAUGUCUGGGAAACUGCCUGAUGGAGGGGGAUAACUACUGGAAACGGUAGCUAAUACCGCAUACCAUCAGAUGUGCCCAGAUUGGAUUAGCUAGUUGGUGGGGUAACGGAUCACCAAGGCGACGAUCCCUAGCUGGUCUGAGAGGAUGACAAGCCACACUGGAACGGAGACACGGUCCAGACUCGUACGGGAGGCAGGGGUGGGGAAUAUUGCACAAUGGGCGGAAGCCUGAUGCAGCCAUGCCGCGUGGAUGAAGAAGGCACUCGGGUUGUAAAGUAAUGUCAGCGGGGAGGCGGUACCCGAAGAAGAAGCACCGGCUAACUCCGUGCCAGCAGCCGCGGUAAUUC